CCUACGGGAGGCAGCAGUGGGGAAUCUUGCGCAAUGGGCGAAAGCCUGACGCAGCCAUGCCGCGUGAAUGAUGAAGGUCUUAGGAUUGUAAAAUUCUUUCACCGGGGACGAUAAUGACGGUACCCGGAGAAGAAGCCCCGGCUAACUUCGUGCCAGCAGCCGCGGUAAUACGAAGGGGGCUAGCGUUGCUCGGAAUUACUGGGCGUAAAGGGAGCGUAGGCGGAUAGUUUAGUCAGAGGUGAAAGCCCAGGGCUCAACCUUGGAAUUGCCUUUGAUACUGGCUAUCUUGAGUAUGGGAGAGGUUAGCGGAACUCCGAGUGUAGAGGUGAAAUUCGUAGAUAUUCGGAAGAACACCAGUGGCGAAGGCGGCUAACUGGCCCAUUACUGACGCUGAGGCCCGAAAGCGUGGGGAGCAAACAGGAUUAGAUACCCUGGUAGUCCACGCCGUAAACGAUGAGUGCUAGUUGUCGGCAUGCAUGCAUGUCGGUGGACGCAGCUACGACAUUAAGUACACCUCCGUCCGUCGGGGUAGGUACGGUCGGCGAAGAAGUUAAAACGUUAACGUAAAGGUAAAGUUAGUUACGGCGUGAGACGUGCCGACGGACGACGACGAGGGAGGAGG
rnacentral:rRNA from 1 species